rnacentral:rRNA from 1 species
UACGUAGGGUCCGAGCGUUGUCCGGAAUUAUUGGGCGUAAAGGGCUCGUAGGCGGUUUGUCGCGUCGGGAGUGAAAACUCAGGGCUCAACCCUGAGCGUGCUUCCGAUACGGGCAGACUAGAGGUAUGCAGGGGAGAACGGAAUUCCUGGUGUAGCGGUGGGAUGCGCAGAUAUCAGGAGGAACACCGGUGGCGAAGGCGGUUCUCUGGGCAUUACCUGACGCUGAGGAGCGAAAGCAUGGGGAGCGAACAGG